rnacentral:rRNA from 1 species
AUUGAACGCUGGCGGCAGGCCUAACACAUGCAAGUCGAGCGAGCGGCGGACGGGUGAGUAAUGCCUAGGAAUCUGCCUGGUAGUGGGGGAUAACGUCCGGAAACGGUAGCUAAUACCGCAUACCAUCAGAUGUGCCCAGAUGGGAUUCGCUGGUUGGUGGGGUAACGGCUCAGCAGGGCGACGAUCCCUAGCUGGUCUGAGAGGAUGACCAGCCACACGGGAACGGAGACACGUUCCAGAAGCCUACGUGAGGCAGCAGUGGGGAAUAUUGGACAAUGGGCGAAAGCCUGAUCCAGCCAUGCCGCGUGUAUGAAGAAGGCCUUCGGGUUGUAAAGUACUUUCAGCGGGGAGGCGUUACCCGCAGAAGAAGCACCGGCUAACUCCGUGCCAGCCGCCGCGGUAAUAC